AGCGAACGUUAGCGGCGCGCCUAACACAUGCAAGUCGCACGAGAAACGGAGCAAUCCGCGGUACAGUGGCGCACGGGUGAGUAACACGUGGAUGACCUUCCCUGGAGUGGUGGAUAACCUGCCGAAAGGCGGGCUAAUACAGCAUAGGACCACGACGCUUUGGCGAUGUGGUGAAAGCGGGCCUCUAUAUAUAAGCUCGCGCUCCGGGACGGGUCCGCGUCCCAUCAGCUAGUUGGUGAGGUAACGGCUCACCAAGGCGACGACGGGUAGCUGGUCUGAGAGGAUGGCCAGCCACACUGGAACUGAGACACGGUCCAGACUCCUACGGGAGGCAGCAGUGGGGAAUCUUGCGCAAUGGGCGAAAGCCUGACGCAGCGACGCCGCGUGGGCGAAGAAGGCCUCGG
rnacentral:rRNA from 1 species